rnacentral:rRNA from 1 species
CGACGCAGCGCGGCAACUGGUGGCGAGUGGCGAACGGUGAGUAAUACAUCGGAACGUGCCCAAUCGGUGGGGAUAACGUAGCGAAAGUUUACGCUAAUACCGCAUACGAUCUACGGAUGAAAGCGGGGGAUCGCAAGACCUCGCGCGAGUGGAGCGGCCGAUGUCAGAUUAGGUAGUUGGUGGGGUAAAGGCUCACCAAGCCAACGAUCUGUAGCUGGUCUGAGAGGACGACCAGCCACACUGGAACUGAGACACGGUCCAGACUCCUACGGGAGGCAGCAGUGGGAAUUUUGGACAAUGGGCGCAAGCCUGAUCCAGCCAUUCCGCGUGCAGGAUGAAGGCCUUCGGGUUGUAACCUGCUUUUGUACGGAACGAAACGGCGAGCUCUAAUACAGUUUGCUAAUGACGGUACCGUAAGAAUAAGCACCGGCUAACUACGUG